ACACUCUUGAAAACUGUGAGGGAAUGGAAUGGAAUGGAAUGGAAUGGAAUGGAAUGGAAUGGAAUGGAAUGGAGAGCUUUGGCUUUUUGGCUUGGGCUGUCUUGCAGUUGCAAAGAAGAUGUCUUGACUAUGAGAAGGUUAGGAUUUACAUAAGCUGUGGCAGGGUCUUCUCUGAUCUGAUCUCAUUACUGCAGGAGGUGGGCUGAUGCUCUCCAGGGGUAGUACAUGGCCAAGAAAUGUAAAAAGGUACUGAAGCAGUAGGAAAGCAGCAUCCUGGCUUUUCUAGCAGAAGUCAUAGAUUCUAGCAGAGAGCCAGUUAAGAGGAACAAGGAGGGCAGAACCUGAUCAGAACGUGCCAGUAUCUUUUCUCCCUGCCUGAUGGGAGAUCAAGGAGGCUUAAAAUCUCUCUGGUGUUUUGGAUGACUGGUCAUCUGUGGAAAGGGGACCAGUUGAAGGUGAAAUGGCUGAGACAGUUGCAUCAAACCAUCCUCAGAGAAACAAACAGAUCCCAAAUGUGAGCAUGGUCCCUUCCCCAACAACUCGUAUGUGAUGUGCAGUCACAAAGUGAAACAUUCCAGGAAAUAAAGGCAACAGGCAUGACUCACA